rnacentral:misc_RNA from 1 species
AACGCAUCUUGCACUCUCUGGUAUUCCGGAGAGUAUGCCUGUUUGAGUGUCAUGAUCAUCUCAACCCACCAGUUCUCUGGAACUGCUUUGUGGUGCUUGGAUUUUGAGUGGUGCUGACAUGUGUUUGUCCAGCCCAUUUGUAUACCAUUCGCGUCGUCAUGGAGUUCUGACUCUUGGAUUGACCCAGUGUUGUAGUACCAUUCUUUCACUGGGGACAUGUGAUAUUCUGUCAUGUGGCCGAGACUUAUGUAAACUUGUGUCGAUGCUUAAAGUGCUUGCACUUGUCUUUCAGGAUAAGACCUCAGAUCAGGCAGGACUACCCGCUGAACUUAA